rnacentral:RNase_P_RNA from 1 species
UGAGUCAGCCAGGCGGCCGCGGGCGUGAAAACGCGCGAGGAACGUCCGGGCUCCGCAGGGCAAGGUGGUGGCUAACGGCCACCCGGGGUGACCCGCGGGCAAGUGCAACAGAGAGUAGACCGCCAUCAGCUUCGGCUGGAGGUAAGGGUGAAAGGGUGGUGUAAGAGACCACCAGUGGCGCAGGUGACUGUGCCAGCUAGGUAAACCCCACCUGGAGCAAAACCGAGCAGCAGGCGUUCGAGGGCGGCCCGCCCAAUGCCUGCGGGUAGGUUGCUUGAGGCUUGCGGUAACGCAAGCCCUAGAGAGAUGGUCGCCACCCGGCUGCUGGUAACGGCGAAGGGAACAGAACCCGGCGUAUCGGCUGACUCAUCCG